AAAGCCUGCCAGACCGCCGCUGGCGCAAGGGUGGAAACACCGCGCUGGAGGAACGUCCGGACUGCACAGGGCAGCGCAGGAGGUAACACCUCUCCACCGCAAGGUGAGGAUCAGAGCAACAGAGACGAGUCGAUUGCAAAAUCGGGUGAAACGGGCAAUCUCUGCGCGCAGCAAUACCAAGUAGGCCAGCGAUGAUGUGGCUCCGCAGAUGCUGGCGGGUAGGUAGCAUCGAGCCGUGGGGGCGACUCCCGGCCCAGAGGAAUGGCGGUCACGCGGCGGGCAACCGCCGUGCACAGAAUCCGGCGUAUCGGCAGGCUUUACAU
rnacentral:RNase_P_RNA from 1 species